rnacentral:rRNA from 1 species
GUGGACGCACCUCUGGUGUUCCGGUUGUCACGCCAGUGGCAUUGCCGGGUAGCUAUGUGCGGACGGGAUAACCGCUGAAAGCAUCUAAGCGGGAAGCCCCCUUCAAGAUGAGACAUCCCCGAGGCCUCGAGCCUCCUGAAGGGCCCAGCGAGACCAGCUGGUUGAUAGGCCGGGUGUGGAAGCGCUGCAAGGCGUUGAGCUAACCGGUACUAAUGGCCCGUGAGGCUUGACCAU